GGAUGAGGUAUCUUAUUUUCUUUUCUUAAGAGGCCAAGGGUGGUUUCAAGAAAAGCAAACUAUUUGCAGAGAUCCCAGCACUUCUGUGUCAGAGGCUGAGAAUUAUUCCUGGAGCAUUAUUCCAAGUAAUAAAUGGACAUAUUGGAUCUUGUUCAAAUACAUGGCAGACAGAAACUGAAAUACAUAGCAAUGAUUCUCGUUCCUUUUCUGGGCAAGUGCUGGCCAUGCCAUGGACUGCAGUCUAACAA